UACGGGAGGCAGCAGUGGGGAAUAUUGCACAAUGGGCGCAAGCCUGAUGCAGCCAUGCCGCGUGUAUGAAGAAGGCCUUCGGGUUGUAAAGUACUUUCAGUCGUGAGGAAGGUGUUAAGGUUAAUAACCUUAGCAAUUGACGUUAGCGACAGAAGAAGCACCGGCUAACUCCGUGCCAGCAGCCGCGGUAAUACGGAGGGUGCGAGCGUUAAUCGGAAUUACUGGGCGUAAAGGGCACGCAGGCGGUUAAUUAAGUUGGAUGUGAAAUCCCCGGGCUUAACCUGGGAAUGGCAUUCAAGACUGGUUAGCUAGAGUCUUGUAGAGGGGGUAGAAUUCCAUGUGUAGCGGUGAAAUGCGUAGAGAUGUGGAGGAAUAUCGGUGGCGAAGGCGGCCCCUGGGACAAAGACUGACGCUCAUGUGCGAAAGCGUGGGGAGCAAACAGGAUUAGAUACC
rnacentral:rRNA from 1 species